rnacentral:rRNA from 1 species
UACGGAGGGUGCAAGCGUUAAUCGGAAUAAUUGGGCGUAAAGAGUGCGUAGGUGGUUUGCUAAGUGAGUUGUGAAAGACCUGGGCUUAACCUGGGGGUGUCAACUCAAACGGGCAGACUAGAGUACAGUAGAGGGUCGUGGAAUUUCCGGUGUAGCGGUGAAAUGCGUAGAGAUCGGAAGGAACACCAGUGGCGAAGGCGACGACCUGGGCUGAAACUGACACUGAGGCACGAAAGCGUGGGGAGCAAACAGG